AGCGUAGCAUCAGAGGGGUAAAGGGUGACGUUAGCGUAGCAUCAGAGAGGUAAAGGGUGACGUUAGCGUAGCAUCAGAGGGGUAAAGGGUGACGUUAGCGUAGCAUUAGAGAGGUAAAGGAUGACGUUAGCGUAGCAUCAGAGGGGUAAAGGGUGACGUUAGCGUAGCAUCAGAGAGGUAAAGGGUGACGUUAGCGUAGCAUCAGAGGGGUAAAGGGUAACGUUAGCGUAGCAUCAGAGGGGUAAAGGGUGACGUUAGCGUAGCAUCAGAGAGGUAAAGGGUGACGUUAGCGUAGCAUCAGAGGGGUAAAGGGUGACGUUAGCGUAGCAUCAGAGGGGUAAAGGGUGACGUUAGCGUAGCAUCAGAGGGGUAAAGGGUGAAGUCGCCAGUUUUUAAUUUGAAUGUGAAGGUGUGUGUUUGUGUCGUUAACCAUGACGACCUGACCCCGCCCCAUGCUGCAUGACAUCAUCGACGGUGCUGUUACCAUGGUGACUUGAUGAGUGUGUUGUGCUCAUGAUGGUUUGUAAUGUUGAAUAUGAUUUGUGGUUUUAAUCCUGACGCUGUCGGAUCCUCGUCUCAAAGACUUUUUUACUGCAAACAGAGACAAUGGAUCGACCAAUAGGAAGAGCUGUGCAGCUCCACGCCCAUAUAUGGGACCGGAGCAAAAACUACAACAUGGAAACUGUCAGUGUUAUUGUGUACUUUCAAAAUAAAAGCUCAACAGGUGUGACACAGUU